CCUACGGGGGGCAGCAGUGAGGAAUAUUGGUCAAUGGGCGCGAGCCUGAACCAGCCAAGUCGCGUGAGGGAUGACGGUCCUACGGAUUGUAAACCUCUUUUGCCGGGGAGCAAGCGUGCGUUCGUGAACGCGCGUCGAGAGUACCCGGAGAAAAAGCAUCGGCUAACUCCGUGCCAGCAGCCGCGGUAAUACGUAGGGGGCGAGCGUUAUCCGGAUUCACUGGGUGUAAAGGGAGCGUAGACGGCCAUGCAAGCCAGGGGUGAAAGCCCGGGGCCCAACCCCGGGACUGCCCUUGGAACUGCAUGGCUGGAGUGCGGGAGGGGCAGGCGGGAUUCCUGGUGUAGCGGUGAAAUGCGUAGAUAUCAGGAGGAACACCGGCGGCGAAGGCGGCCUGCUGGACCGCGACUGACGUUGAGGCUCGAAAGCGUGGGGAGCGAACAGGAUUAGAUACCCUUGUAGUC
rnacentral:rRNA from 1 species